rnacentral:misc_RNA from 1 species
CAACCUUCAAGCCCGGCUUGGUAUUGGGCCUGCCGUCCUGGCGAGCCUCAAAGAUGUUGGCGGUGGGCGACCCCCGAGCGUGAUGGACUCGCGACAACGGGGUGGUUCGCCGCCGAAAGCUCCCUUA